AGUGAACGCUGGCGGUAGGCCUAACACAUGCAAGUCGAACGGCAGCACAGUAAGAGCUUGCUCUUACGGGUGGCGAGUGGCGGACGGGUGAGGAAUACAUCGGAAUCUACUUUUUCGUGGGGGAUAACGUAGGGAAACUUACGCUAAUACCGCAUACGACCUACGGGUGAAAGCAGAGGAUCUUCGGACCUUGCGCGAUUGAAUGAGCCGAUGUCGGAUUAGCUAGUUGGCGGGGUAAAGGCCCACCAAGGCGACGAUCCGUAGCUGGUCUGAGAGGAUGAUCAGCCACACUGGAACUGAGACACGGUCCAGACUCCUACGGGAGGCAGCAGUGGGGAAUAUUGGACAAUGGGCGCAAGCCUGAUCCAGCCAUACCGUGUGGGUGAAGAAGGCCUUCGGGUUGUAAAGCCCUUUUGUUGGGAAAGAAAAGCAGCAGGUUAAUACCCCGCUGUUCUGACGGUACCCAAAGAAUAAGCACCGGCUAACUUCGUG
rnacentral:rRNA from 1 species